CAGAGUUGGGGACAGAUAUGCAGGGACAGACUGGCAGAGACAGGGAGUCUCAGAGAAAUGCUUUGAAAUAAAGAGACAUGGAAAUCCUCAAAAUCCUGAACACAAGGAAACAACAAGAAGAGUUAUAAAUGAGCAAGACUGUCACUUAUUGGCCAAAUUCCUGUCAGUUGGAUUGGUAGAGGCAGACCCAAACUAUCUUCAACACCAAGGACUACAGGGACCUGCGUGGCGGCACUUCCUGAAGAAUCAGCACACUUAGGGAGUACCAGGAAAUGUACAAAUCAGUUACAAAGACAUUUACAUUUGGUACCCUGGAAAAUAUUGAUUUCUACGCAAGAUCAAGCUAUCCACCAUUAUCAAAAAACAUUAACGGACAAUGUGAGAAUGAAGGAGGAUGCACUCAUUGGCCCACAUUUGUCAUUGCAGUGAUGUGCUGCCCUUUUAUUUUAUUUGUUAAUUAUUGAAUAAUGAA
rnacentral:lncRNA from 1 species